rnacentral:rRNA from 1 species
UGGCGGACGGGUGAGUAACGCGUGAGAAUCGGCCCUGAGGUUGGGGACAACCAUUGGAAACGAUGGCUAAUACCGAAUAAGCCGAGAGGUGAAAGAUUAAUCGCCUCAGGAAGAGCUCGCGUCUGAUUAGCUAGUUGGUGGGGUAAAGGCUUACCAAGGCAGCGAUCAGUAACUGGUCUGAGAGGAUGGCCAGUCACACUGGGACUGAGACACGGCCCAGACUCCUACGGGAGGCAGCAGUGGGGAAUUUUCCGCAAUGGGCGAAAGCCUGACGGAGCAAUACCGCGUGAGGGAGGAAGGCUCUUGGGUCGUAAACCUCUUUUCUCAGGGAAGAAGACAAUGACGGUACCUGAGGAAUAAGCAUCGGCUAACUCCGUGCCAGCAGCCGCGGUAAUACGGAGGAUGCAAGCGUUAUCCGGAAUGAUUGGGCGUAAAGCGUCCGCAGGUGGCAGUGAAAGUCUGCUGUCAAAGCUCAGGGCUCAACUCUGAACAGGCAGUGGAAACUACACAGCUAGAGUGCGGUGGGGGCAGAGGGAAUUCCCAGUGUAGCGGUGAAAUGCGUAGAGAUUGGGAAGAACACCGGUGGCGAAAGCGCUCUGCUAGGCCGCAACUGACACUCAGGGACGAAAGCUAGGGGAGCGAAUGGGAUUAGAUACCCCAGUAGUCCUAGCCGUAAACGAUGGAUACUAGGCGUAGCGCGUAUCGACCCGAGCUGUGCCGUAGCUAACGCGUUAAGUAUCCCGCCUGGGG